CUUCUCUCAAGUCUUUCACCAAUUCCAUCUUUCAAAUUUUCUCUUUGUCAACGGAUGGCUAAAUCAACAAAGGAUGUAUACUUCGAUACUGAUAUGUCAGAAUUCUUCACAGUAUUUCCCCUAGAAGAAAAAUAAAAAAUGAAGUUUCCAAAAAGCUUUCAAAUAUUAUAUAGAGACACUGUUGGAGAAAUAUGCACGAUAGAAGACAAAUACGGCAAAACUUGGGAAACAAAAGUCAAAGACCAUUCAAAUGGAAGACUCUACUUGGACGACAGAUGGGAGAAAUUCCACAAAGAUCACAACUUGAACUUUGGAGACUUCAUGACUUUUCAUCUGAUUUACCACAGUCAUUUCUUAGUGAAAAUGUUUGAUGAUACAGGAUGUGCUAAAGAAUUCCCCGAACAACCAAUUGGACAAGCAACCGAAGGCGCAUCAUCCUCACAAUCAAUUGCUUCACCAUCCUUCAAAUCAACCAUGACAAAAUCAAACCGAAGAAGAUUUGUAAGAAUUUAAAUUAUUACUUCAUAUACAUAUAUUUGAUAAUGAUUGUUUUAAUUUAUUUAUAACUUGAACAAUCGAAAUUAAUAAAUUAAUGUACUCCCUUCGUCCCCGCUAGGAUGACACAUUCCUUAGCCGGCACGGGAGGAUUUAUUGGUUAAUGUGUUUAAUUGGAGAGAGAAAAUGUGGGUGGAAGUAUUAAAAUAGAGAGAGAAAGAAAGAUGAAUAUUUUAAUAGGGGUGGAAAAAGUAGUUAGUUGUAUUAAUUGGAGAGAGAAAGUUUCCGUAAAAGGAAAUGUGUCCUCUUAGUUGGGACAAACUAAAAAGGAAAACAUGUCAUCUUAAAUGAGCCGAAUGGAGUAAUCAACAUUAUAGCACAUACCAAUCCAAUUUUGGAGGGCACAUGUGAUGAACAAA